UCUCAAGAUCUUCUCUUCAGGUCUGAGAUAAAAGCUCAGCUUUAACCUUGAUUCCACUGAUCAGGAGUCCUCAGUUCAGCUUCACACAAUGAGGAUCUCUGCUCAUCUGCUGGGGCUACUAAUGCUCUUCAUCCCUGGAUCCACAGGGGAUGUUGUGAUGACCCAGAGUCCACUCCCCUUGCCCAUCACCCCUGGAGAGUCCACUUCCAUCUCCUGCAGGUCCAGCCAGAGCCUCCUGCAUAGCAAUGGAUAUACCUAUUUGUUUUGGUUCCUGCAAAAGCCAGGCCAGUCUCCAAGACGCUUGAUCUAUUUGGUUUCACACCGAGACUCUGGGGUCCCAGAGAGGUUCAGUGGCAGUGGGUCAGGGACAGAUUUCACCCUGAAAAUCAGCAGGGUGGAGGCUGAGGAUGCUGGAGUUUAUUACUGCAUGCAAGCUACACAUGUUCCUCCCACAGUGAUACAGCCCCGAACAUAAACCUCUCUGUGUGUUGUGGCCCAGCUGCCUGUGUGGAUUGCUCAUGUGGGGAGGAACACGGCAGUGCCUCAGAGUGUGUGUGAAACAGGAAGCCGAUAGGCAACUCAGAACAAGAACUUGCAGCUGAGGAGUUCCAUGGAUGGCUCAGCUACACUCAGGCAAACCCCACAAAGUCCUGUCACCUGCAGCAUUCUUGGCAUGGUAUAUCAGGCAGAAAAAGAGUUAUGAUACAAGU